GAGACGCUAGUAAAACAAGCUAUUACACCACUUUGUCAAGGUGAAGUUGCGGGUUGAACCCCCGCGCGUCUUA
rnacentral:tRNA from 1 species